rnacentral:lncRNA from 1 species
GGUUCAUAACACUACAGGGGGAUAACUCUGUUAAAAUCUGCUGCACGUUUGAAUCACUUUCUACUGGAAAUAUUAAGCUUUUCAAUGAUCAAAAUAAGUGUAUGUCAAACUGUUUUACUGGUAUAUCCAAUGAAAUUUUUCCAAUAAAGUGUGUGGUUCAGGCUUUUUGUAAAUGUUUAUAUUUAGUCUAAGGGUCAACUAAAUAUUUUGUCAAGAUUUUAUGAAAAUUAAAUGAGCCAAAUUAAUUUUCUUCAAGGUGUUUGGUACCAAAACAAAAUUAUAAUUUAACAACAGGG